rnacentral:rRNA from 1 species
GUCGAACGGCAGCAUAGAGAGCUUGCUCUCUGAUGGCGAGUGGCGAACGGGUGAGUAAUAUAUCGGAACGUGCCCAGUAAUGGGGAAUAACUAGCCGAAAGGUUAGCUAAUACCGCAUACGACCUACGGGUGAAAGCAGGGGAUCUUAGGACCUUGCGUUAUUGGAGCGGCCGAUAUCUGAUUAGCUUGUUGGUGGGGUAAAAGCCUACCAAGGCUACGAUCAGUAGCUGGUCUGAGAGGACGAUCAGCCACACUGGAACUGAGACACGGUCCAGACUCCUACGGGAGGCAGCAGUGGGGAAUUUUGGACAAUGGGGGAAACCCUGAUCCAGCCAUCCCGCGUGAGUGAAGAAGGCCUUCGGGUUGUAAAGCUCUUUCGAAAGUGAAGAAAACUUAUUUCGUAAUAUGUUAUAAGUAUGACGGUAACUUUAGAAGAAGCACCGGCUAACUACGUGCCAGCAGCCGCGGUAAUACGUAGGGUGCGAGCGUUAAUCGGAAUUACUGGGCGUAAAGCGUGCGCAGGCGGUUUUGUAAGUCAGAUGUGAAAUCCCCGAGCUUAACUUGGGAACUGCGUUUGAAACUACAAGACUAGAGUGUGUCAGAGGGGGGUAGAAUUCCACGUGUAGCAGUGAAAUGCGUAGAGAUGUGGAGGAAUACCAGUGGCGAAGGCAGCCCCCUGGGAUAACACUGACGCUCAUGCACGAAAACGUGGGGAGCGAACAGGAUUAGAUACCCUGGUAGA